GACGAACGCUGGCGGCGUGCUUAACACAUGCAAGUCGAACGGUGAAGCGCCUUCCUUUUUGGUGGGUGUGGAUGAGUGGCGAACGGGUGAGUAACACGUGAGUAACCUGCCCCCUUCUUCUGGAUAACCGCAUGAAAGUGUGGCUAAUACGGGAUAUUCUGGGUCUGUCGCAUGAUGGGUCUGGGAAAGAUCUUGUUUCGGUGGGGGAUGGGCUCGCGGCCUAUCAGCUUGUUGGUGGGGUGAUGGCCUACCAAGGCGGUGACGGGUAGCCGGCCUGAGAGGGUGGACGGUUACACUGGGACUGAGACACGGUCCAGACUCCUACGGGAGGCAGCAGUGGGGAAUAUUGCACAAUGGGCGCAAGCCUGAUGCAGCGACGCCGCGUGCGGGAUGGAGGCGUUCGGGUUGUGAACCUCUUUCGCCAGUGAAGCAGGCCUGCCUCGUUUGUGGGUGGGUUGACGGUAGCUGGAUAAGAAGCGCCGGCUAACUAAGUG
rnacentral:rRNA from 1 species